rnacentral:rRNA from 1 species
CCCGCUGAACUUAAGCAUAUCAAUAAGCGGAGGAAAAGAAACUAACAAGGAUUCCCCUAGUAACUGCGAGUGAAGCGGGAAAAGCUCAAAUUUAAAAUCUGGCGGUCCUUGUGGCCGUCCGAGUUGUAAUUUAGAGAAGUGUUAUCCGCGCUGGACCGUGUACAAGUCUCCUGGAAUGGAGCGUCAUAGAGGGUGAGAAUCCCGUCUUUGACACGGACUGCCAGGGCAUUGUGAUACGCUCUCAAAGAGUCGAGUUGUUUGGGAAUGCAACUCAAAAUGGGUGGUAAAUUCCAUCUAAAGCUAAAUAUUGGGGAGAGACCGAUAGCGAACAAGUACCGUGAGGGAAAGAUGAAAAGAACUUUGGAAAGAGAGUUAAACAGUACGUGAAAUUGCUGAAAGGGAAACGCUUGAAGUCAGUCGCGUCGCUCAGGACUCAGCCUUGCUUUUGCUUGGUGUACUUCCUGUUCGAUGGGUCAGCAUCAAUUUUGGUCGGUGGAUAAAGGCUCAGAGAAUGUGGCAUCUUCGGGUGUGUUAUAGCUCUGGGUUGUAUACAUCGGCUGGGAUUGAGGAACUCAGCACGCCGCAAGGCCGGGUACUUGUACCACGUACGUGCUUAGGAUGCUGGCAUAAUGGCUUUAAUCGACCCGUCUUGAAACACGG